rnacentral:rRNA from 1 species
UACGGGGGGGGCAAGCGUUGUUCGGAAUUACUGGGCGUAAAGGGCUUGUAGGUGGCCAACUAAGUCAGACGUGAAAUCCCUCAGCUUAACUGGGGAACUGCGUCUGAUACUGGAUGGCUUGAGUUUGGGAGAGGGAUGCGGAAUUCCAGGUGUAGCGGUGAAAUGCGUAGAUAUCUGGAGGAACACCAAUUGCGAAGGCAGCUCGCUGGGACGUUACUGACGCUGAGACGCGAAAGCGUGGGGAGCAAACAGG